AGAGUUUGAUCCUGGCUCAGGAUGAACGCUGGCGGCGUGCUUAACACAUGCAAGUCGAACGGGAAUGCCACGCUGAUGCGAUUUCGGUCAAAUCAUGUGGCAUUCGAGUGGCGGACGGGUGAGUAACGCGUGGGUAACCUGCCUUACACAGGGGGAUAACACCUGGAAACAGGUGCUAAUACCGCAUAAGCGCACAGGGCCGCAUGGCCCGGUGUGAAAAACUCCGGUGGUGUAAGAUGGACCCGCGUCUGAUUAGCUUGUUGCCGGGGUAGGGACCCACCAAGGCGACGAUCAGUAGCCGGCCUGAGAGGGUGGACGGCCACAUUGGGACUGAGACACGGCCCAAACUCCUACGGGAGGCAGCAGUGGGGGAUAUUGGACAAUGGGGGAAACCCUGAUCCAGCGACGCCGCGUGAGUGAAGAAGUAUUUCGGUAUGUAAAGCUCUGUCAGCAGGGAAGAAAGAAAUGACGGUACCUGACCAAGAAGCCCCGGCUAACUACGUGCCAGCAGCCGCGGUAAUACGUAGGGGGCAAGCGUUAUCCGGAAUUACUGGGUGUAAAGGGAGCGUAGACGGUGAUGCAAGUCUGGAGUGAAAGGCGGGGGCCCAACCCCCGGACUGCUCUGGAAACUGUGUAACUUGAGUGCAGGAGAGGUAAGCGGAAUUCCUAGUGUAGCGGUGAAAUGCGUAGAUAUUAGGAGGAACACCAGUGGCGAAGGCGGCUUACUGGACUGUAACUGACGUUGAGGCUCGAAAGCGUGGGGAGCAAACAGGAUUAGAUACCCUGGUAGUCCACGCCGUAAACGA
rnacentral:rRNA from 1 species